rnacentral:rRNA from 1 species
CCCUUAGAUGUCCGGGGCCGCACGCGCGCUACACUGAUGCAUUCAACGAGUUUUUCCUUGGCCGAGAGGCCUGGGCAAUCUUUUAAACGUGCAUCGUGAUAGGGAUAGAUUAUUGCAAUUAUUAAUCUUGAACGAGGAAUUCCUAGUAAACGCAGAUCAUCAAUCUGCAUUGAUUACGUCCCUGCCCUUUGUACACACCGCCCGUCGCACCUACCGAUUGAAUGGUCCGGUGAAGCCUCGGGAUUGUGGCGAGUUCCCUUUAUUGGGAGUUUGUCGCGAGAACUUGUCUAAACCUUAUCAUUUAGAGGAAGGUGAAGUCGUAACA